GACCUGCCUUUAGGACUUCCCACUUCUGACUGUACAUCCCAAGAGUGAUUUACUCUCUCUGAGUCUCCAUUUCUUUAUUUAAAGAAUGGAAGAAGUAAUCUCAACUUCAAAUAGCUGUUCUAAGAAAUAAGAUGGCAUCUAUAAAGCACACGGCCUAGUUCUUGGCACAUGGAAGGAGUUUACCAAGAAAGAGAAGAUGGAUGCCACAUUGUUGGGUAGCAGGUACUGUGGUGAUAUGGGGUCUUAACUCCCCAACCAGGGAUCAAACCCAUGCCCCUGCAUUGGGAGUGUGAAGUCCUAACCACUGGACCACCAGGGAAUUCCCCUUCCAGGUAUUUUUAAAUAAUACAUUUCAGAUAGAAUCCCUUUCAGUAAUGACUUCACUUUUCCACUCUCUGCUCCCAAGAUGUAGCCAAUAUCAAGAUCCAGCUUUUACAGAUUUGAAUAUAAAUAUGUGUCUAUAAAACUGAGGAAUAAAUUUGUGUUUUUGAAAUCUACCCAUCUUGAUAUAUGUCGAUCUAGUUUAAACUUUUUAACUACCAUGUAAUAUUACGUCAGAUGAGUCUAUAUCACCUUUUACUUAUACAUAUCUUUUUUAAUGGACAGUCAGGUGGAAACCAUUUUUUCAGUAAUAUAAACACUGCUAUAAUAACCAUGCUUGCAUAUGCUCCUUGUACACAUGUCUGACUUUCUUUAGGAUCUAUAGAAGAAAUUCAGUGACCAGGUACUAGAAGGUGCUUUUUUAACUAAAAUGGCCAAACUGCUGGACCAUCCCACAACACAGUAUGAUUUACAAUCCCACAGCUUUACCAGAUCAUAAGACUGAAAUUAUCAUCACAUGAUAGGUGUGAAAUAGUUUCUUUUUUAACAACUUGUGUUCACCUGAUUACUCCUGAGAUCAUGCAUCCUUUUGAAUGUUUAUUGGUCAUUUCUGAAUUGACUUUUUCCUGUGUGUUCCUCAUCACACAGAUUUUAAAUUUUGAUAAGGAUAUUGGGCAAUAUUUUCUAUAUAGAACUUAGUAUGUCUUGUUUAAGAAGCAGGGCACCCAAAGCUGGUGCUCUGGGACAACCCAGAGGCAUAGG
ensembl:lncRNA